AAACAGGAAGCAAAAAAUUGCACUUAGUUUCGACCUAAAAGUAAGAUGGAUAUCAUCCCUGUUUA
rnacentral:tRNA from 1 species